CACGGUUUUCAAAAUUCCCAAAAGUUGUAAAACCCGCUCAUGUUAACAAACACACAAAAAUUUCGAGUAAACAAACUUAAAAAACGUUUUAAUAAGUAGUUAUUGGUAAAAUGGCAUAUCAUUGCGUUGUGAAAAAUUGUUCAAAUGGACGCUAUAGACUUAUGAAAUGGAAAUAUGAAAUAUGCACUGAACAUAAAUGUAGAAAAAUAGAUAUUGGAUGUAAUUGUGCA